AACUGUUGCCUCGGCGGGAUCUCUGCCCCGGGUGCGUCGCAGCCCCGGACCAAGGCGCCCGCCGGAGGACCAACCUAAAACUCUUAUUGUAUACCCCUCGCGGGUUUUUUAUAAUCUGAGCCUUCUCGGCGCCUCUCGUAGGCGUUUCGAAAAUGAAUCAAAACUUUCAACAACGGAUCUCUUGGUUCUGGCAUCGAUGAAGAACGCAGCGAAAUGCGAUAAGUAAUGUGAAUUGCAGAAUUCAGUGAAUCAUCGAAUCUUUGAACGCACAUUGCGCCCGCCAGUAUUCUGGCGGGCAUGCCUGUCCGAGCGUCAUUUCAACCCUCGAACCCCUCCGGGGGGUCGGCGUUGGGGAUCGGCCUCCUCUCACGGGGGCCGUCUCCGAAAUACAGUGGCGGUCUCGCCGCAGCCUCUCCUGCGCAGUAGUUUGCACACUCGCAUCGGGAGCGCGGCGCGUCCACAGCCGUUAAACACCCCAAACUUCUGAAAUGUUGACCUCGGAUCAGGUAGGAAUACCCGCUGAACUUAAGCAUAUCAAUAA
rnacentral:rRNA from 1 species